AACAAGGUUUCCGUAGGUGAACCUGCGG
rnacentral:ncRNA from 2 species